GAUGAACGCUGGCGGCGUGCCUAAUAUGCAAGUCGAGCGAACAGACGAGGAGCUUGCUCCUCUGACGUUAGCGGCGGACGGGUGAGUAACACGUGGAUAACCUACCUAUAAGACUGGGAUAACUUCGGGAAACCGGAGCUAAUACCGGAUAAUAUAUUGAACCGCAUGGUUCAAUAGUGAAAGACGGUUUUGCUGUCACUUAUAGAUGGAUCCGCGCCGCAUUAGCUAGUUGGUAAGGUAACGGCUUACCAAGGCAACGAUGCGUAGCGGACCUGAGAGGGUGAUCGGCCACACUGGAACUGAGACACGGUCCGGACUCCUACGGGAGGCAGCAGUAGGGAAUCUUCCGCAAUGGGCGAAAGCCUGACGGAGCAACGCCGCGUGAGUGAUGAAGGUCUUCGGAUCGUAAAACUCUGUUAUUAGGGAAGAACAAAUGUGUAAGUAACUAUGCACGUCUUGACGGUACCUAAUCAGAAAGCCACGGCUAACUACGU
rnacentral:rRNA from 1 species